UACGUAGGGUGCGAGCGUUGUCCGGAAUUACUGGGCGUAAAGAGCUCGUAGGUGGUUUGUCGCGUUGUCCGUGAAAACUCACAACUCAAUUGUGGGCGUGCGGGCGAUACGGGCAGACUGGAGUACUGCAGGGGAGACUGGAAUUCCUGGUGUAGCGGUGGAAUGCGCAGAUAUCAGGAGGAACACCGGUGGCGAAGGCGGGUCUCUGGGCAGUAACUGACGCUGAGGGACGAAAGCUAGGGGAGCGAAUGGG
rnacentral:rRNA from 1 species